CAUACAUAUUUCACUAAUAUCAGUUCUUUUUGACAGAAAGCAUGUUAACUAGUUUUGAAUAAAGAUUCGUCGAAUCACACCUCCACUGCACUGCUUAGAGCAAUUGGCUGACUUCCUCCUAUUUGGGCUACUAGGAGAACCAAUUUCAAAUCUAGCUUCAUGCAAGAUGGAAAAUGUUUAGGAGAAACAAAUUUAAAUUUAUCUUCAUGUAACAACAGAUGCAUGUGUGGUGACCUACAGACAUCUUUUUCUAUUAAAAAAAUAAAUAAAACCAACCAUAUAUA
rnacentral:lncRNA from 1 species